rnacentral:rRNA from 1 species
UACGGGGGGGGCAAGCGUUGUUCGGAAUUACUGGGCGUAAAGGGCUCGUAGGCGGCCAACUAAGUCGGAUGUGAAAUCCCCCGGCUUAACUGGGGAACUGCGUCUGAUACUGGAUGGCUUGAGUUUGGGAGAGGGAUGCGGAAUUCCAGGUGUAGCGUUGAAAUGCGUAGAUAUCUGGAGGAACACCGGUGGCGAAGGCGGCAUCCUGGACCGAUACUGACGCUGAGGAGCGAAAGCCAGGGGAGCAAACGGG